rnacentral:rRNA from 1 species
GACAGAGGUGCCGAGCGUUAGGCGGAAUCACUGGGCUUAAAGCGUGUGUAGGCGGAUGGGUAAGUACCUUGUGAAAUCCCACGGCUCAACCGUGGAACUGCUCGGUAUACUGCUCGUCUUGAGCCAACUAGGGGCGACCGGAACAAACGGUGGAGCGGUGAAAUGCGUAGAUAUCGGGAGGAACACCGGUGGCGAAGGCGGUUCUCUGGGCCUUACCUGACGCUGAGGAGCGAAAGCGUGGGGAGCGAACAGG